UACUAUUUGUAACAGAGUAAUAUGUGAUGAAAUAAAGCAGUGCCAAAAUCGAAAUCAUUACAAAUAUAUUUUGGAGUAAAAUAUAAAUUCAAAGAAGAAUU
rnacentral:rRNA from 17 species